rnacentral:rRNA from 1 species
AACGAACGCUGGCGGCAUGCCUAACACAUGCAAGUCGAACGAGACCUUCGGGUCUAGUGGCGCACGGGUGCGUAACGCGGGGGAAGCUGCCCUUAGGUUCGGAAUACCUCCCCGAAAGGGGUGCUAAUAACGGAUAAUGUCUUCGCACCAAAGAUUUAUCGCCGUUGGAUGGGCCCGCGUUGGAUUAGCUAGUUGGUAGGGUAAAAGCCUACCAAGGCGACGAUCCAUAGCUGGUCGGAGAGGAUGAUCAGCCACACUGGGACUGAGACACGGCCCAGACUCCUACGGGAGGGAGCAGUGGGGAAUAUUGGACAAUGGGCGAAAGCCUGAUCCAGCAAUGCCGCGUGAGUGAUGAAGGCCGUAGGGUUGUAAAGCUCUUUUACCCGGGAUGAUAAUGACAGUACCGGGAGAAUAAGCUCCGGCUAACUCCGUG